GACGAACGCUGGCGGCGUGCCUAAUACAUGCAAGUUGAACGCUAAAGCUUUAACUGGUGCUUGCACCGACCUAAGUUUUUAGAGUAGCGGACGGGUGAGUAACACGUGGGUAACCUGCCCAUCAGAAGGGGAUAACACUUGGAAACAGGUGCUAAUACCGUAUAACAAUCGAAACCGCAUGGUUUCGGUUUGAAAGGCGCUUUUGCGUCACUGAUGGAUGGACCCGCGGUGCAUUAGCUAGUUGGUGAGGUAACGGCUCACCAAGGCAACGAUGCAUAGCCGACCUGAGAGGGUGAUCGGCCACAUUGGGACUGAGACACGGCCCAAACUCCUACGGGAGGCAGCAGUAGGAAUCUUCGGCAAUGGACGAAAGUCUGACCGAGCAACGCCGCGUGAGUGAAGAAGGUUUUCGGAUCGUAAAACUCUGUUGUUAGAGAAGAACAGGAGAAGUAGUAACUGGCUUCUUUUUGACGGUAUCUAACCAGAAAGCCACGGCUAACUACGUGCCAGCCGCCGCAGUAAUAC
rnacentral:rRNA from 1 species